UCUUUGGGAAAUUCCCCGGACGCAAUUGCCGAGAGGCACCCCGGAAACGAGAACUGGUUGUAGUGCCGCUUCUGCAACGACUGCUCUAUGAGCAAGAGCUUUUGGAGCUGGCCUUCAGCCGCCGUCAGAGCAAAGUUAUGCUAUGAACUCAACGGGGAUUACUCUCA
rnacentral:RNase_MRP_RNA from 1 species